rnacentral:rRNA from 1 species
CCUACGGGAGGCAGCAGUGAGGAAUAUUGGUCAAUGGUCGCGAGCCUGAACCAGCCAAGUAGCGUGCAGGAUGACUGCCCUAUGGGUUGUAAACUGCUUUUAUACAGGAAUAAAGUGCGUCACGUGUGCUUUUUUGUAUGUACCUCAUGAAUAAGGACCGGCUAUUCCGUUCCAGCAGCCGCGGUAAUACGGGAGGUCCGGGCGUUAUCCGGAUUUUUUGGGUUUAAAGGGAGCGUAGGCGGGUUGUUAAGCUUGUUGUGAAAUGCCGCGGCUCAAACAUGGAAUUGCGGUUGGUACUGGGAGCCUUGAGUGCGGUUAAGGUAGGCGGAAUUCGUGGUGUAGCGGUGAAAUGCUUAGAUAUCACGAAGAACUCCGAUUGCGAAGGCAGCAUACUGAAGUGCUACUGACGUUGAAGCUCGAAGGUGCGGGUAUCGAACAGGAUUAGAUACCCCAGUAGUC